UACGAAGGGGGCUAGCGUUGCUCGGAAUCACUGGGCGUAAAGGGCGCGUAGGCGGCCAUUCAAGUCGGGGGUGAAAGCCUGUGGCUCAACCACAGAAUUGCCUUCGAUACUGUUUGGCUUGAGUACGGUAGAGGUUGGUGGAACUGCGAGUGUAGAGGUGAAAUUCGUAGAUAUUCGCAAGAACACCAGUGGCGAAGGCGGCUCACUGGCCCAUUACUGACGCUGAGGCACGAAAGCGUGGGGAGCAAACAGG
rnacentral:rRNA from 1 species